GACGAACGCUGGCGGCGUGCUUAACACAUGCAAGUGGAGCGACGAAGCGGGCUUCGGCCCGUGGCAGAGCCGCGAACGGGUGAGUAACACGUGGGUAACCCACCCCGAUGACCGGGACAACCCGAGGAAACUCGGGCUAAUACCGGAUGUUCUCUCUUCUCGUAAGGGAAGCGAGCAAAGAUAGCUUAGGCCUUCGCAUCGGGACGGGCCCGCGGCCCAUUAGCUUGUUGGUGGGGUAACGGCCUACCAAGGCGACGAUGGGUAGCUGGUCUGAGAGGACGAUCAGCCACACUGGGACUGAGACACGGCCCAGACUCCUACGGGAGGCAGCAGUGGGGAAUCUUGCGCAAUGCGCGAAAGCGUGACGCAGCAACGCCGCGUGGGGGAAGAAGGCCUUCGGGUUGUAAACCCCUUUCAGGAGGGACGAAGCCAGGGCGGUGAAUAGCCGACCCUGGUGACGGUACCUCCAGAAGAAGCCCCGGCUAACUACGUGCCAGCAGCCGCAGUAAAAC
rnacentral:rRNA from 1 species